rnacentral:rRNA from 1 species
UACGAAGGGGGCUAGCGUUGCUCGGAAUCACUGGGCGUAAAGCGCACGUAGGCGGGUCGUUAAGUCAGGGGUGAAAUCCUGGAGCUCAACUCCAGAACUGCCCUUGAUACUGGCGAUCUCGAGUUCGGGAGAGGUGAGUGGAACUGCGAGUGUAGAGGUGAAAUUCGUAGAUAUUCGCAAGAACACCAGUGGCGAAGGCGGACUCACUGGCCCGAUACUGACGCUGAGGUGCGAAAGCG